AGCAUGCAGCUAUGUCAAGCCAAGUGUAGAUAGUUGGGAUAAGUGCACGUUCACGGCAUUCUUAAACAGACCAUGGGAUCGAUCACAGAAUCAAUGAUGCAAAAAUGGAUAAAACCCGUGCGGCAUACUUCUCGCCAACUGAGCAACAGCUUCUAAUGGAAACAUAUGAAGAGAACAAGCGUGUGUGGCCAAAAAAGGACCUGGCAGCAAGUACAAGAACAUUUUGCAGGCUGCAUUGAAAAAAAAAGGCUCAUAUAUCUGGCACGGGGGGUGGCCCUCCAACCCAAGACUUGACAACAGCAGAGGAGCUGGCCCUGGAGUGGAAUAAAGGGAAGCCAGUGAUGGAAGGGACACAGUGAGGGACAGCCACUGACUCUGGCCCAGCAAGAGAGACUGGCCUCUUCAUACAAGGUACAUUACUGCCGUACUACUGCACAUGGAAAACAAUCAAGUAUUUAGAUUUUGUUAUGUGGACUGUCUGACUUUGCCUUACCUUGCAGUGUCUGGUAACACACUUAUACUUCUGGAGCCACCAGACUAUGAUC